GCUGGACGUGGUGGUGCACGCCUUUAAUCCCAGCACUCGGGAGGCAGAGGCAGGCAGAUUUCUGAAUUCAAGGCCAGCCUGGUCUACAGAGGGAGUUCAGGACAGCCAGGGCUACACAGAGAAACCCUGUCUAGAAAAAUCAAAUAUAUAUAUACACAUACAUAUGUAUGUACUAAAAUGCUAGAUAGUAAGAAAAACUAAGAUACAGCAAGGGAGUUAAGUUAUUGAUAAAACAGCGUUUCUCUGUGCAGCCUUGGCUGUCCUGGAACUCACUCUGUAGACCAGGCUGGCCUUGAACUCAGAAAUCCGCCUGCCU
rnacentral:lncRNA from 1 species